CCUACGGGAGGCAGCAGUGGGGGAUAUUGCACAAUGGAGGAAACUCUGAUGCAGCGACGCCGCGUGAGGGAAGACGGUCUUCGGAUUGUAAACCUCUGUCUUUGGGGAAGACAAUGACGGUACCCAACGAGGAAUCUCCGGCUAACUACGUUCCAGCAGCCGCGGUAAUACGUAGGGAGCGAGCGUUGUCGGGAAUUACUGGGGGUAAGGGGAGCGUAGGCGGGCGAGAAAGUUGAAUGUUAAAUCUACCGGCUAAACUGGUAGCUGCGUUCAAAACUUCUUGUCUUGAGUGAAGUAGAGGCAGGCGGAAUUCCAAGUGUAGCGGUGAAAUGCGUAGAUAUUAGGAGGAACACCAGUGGCGAAGGCGGCCUGCUGGGCUUUAACUGACGCUGAGGCUCGAAAGCGUGGGGAGCAAACAGGAUUAGAUACCCGGGUAGUC
rnacentral:rRNA from 1 species